rnacentral:miRNA from 1 species
CGAUGAUUGUCCAACUGGUUU